UUGACGCAACCUUUGUGAUAAUUAUUAUUUUUGGAUUUGACUGUAUGUAAACACAUUUUAUCAGCCUUACAAGCAACCAAACUUUUUUCAUAACUUGGAAAUGUUUAAAAAGCAAUUGAAGUCCUCCUCUGGUCAUUUUUUUUAGAUAUUUUCAAAGAGUUCCCCAUUGGUCUUUUGAUUGUAAUUUUUUUAUUUUUACCCAAAAUAAAAAACAAAAAAUCUGUCAUUUUCCAUAGCGUAGUUUCUGCAAAACAACAGUAGUUGAUCAAGAAUAAGCCUCCAACUUUUAGGUGGGACUGUUGACGCAGAGCAAUCCCGCCACCCUUCCCAUUGCUCAUAGCUCAGAGUAGGGAGCUUUUCAGACUAAAUGUUUUCAUCUGCUCCUGAUUCACAUUGAUUUAAAUAAUAAUAAAAAAAAAACUCAAUAAAUGCAAUUUUAAUCUUAACUUUAUCAAAUAUAUCCUCCAUCACCAGAAAAACAUUACAAGAAUAUGUUAAAAACACCAAAACACAAUUUUCAUUGGAGUGGCUCUUUCAACGAGUCUGUAUAUUAAGGUAAACUAUCUUUACUUAAAUUCUAGGGCUGUCGAAAAGAACACAAGUGAUUAAUAAAAAGUAGUUUGCAUGUAAAAAUGUAUUAACGGAAAGUAAUUGAACCUCACGAAGCAGGAGUCUUUCACUUUGCCUCAGAUGGUUCCGGUUUCCUCAGCGUGCAUCAAAACAUUGUCUGGUUUUAUCCCACAUAUACCAUUAUUAUUUACAAAAUGAAUACAUAUUCAAUCAGUUUACAUUACUUUAAUCUAGUAUUUUUUUCAGUUUAGAUCUCUUCUUCACAAAAAGCAGACUAUUUGAUCUGUUGUCUUGCACGUUGUCACGGUAACAUGACAAUGCGUAACUGAGCCUCCACUGCAGCAGCAAAGGAAAGCAGUACACAUGCUCAUCGUCACGGAAGUUGGCGUACUUUGCAUCAUCCACACUGAAGUAAAUGCCACCUUGACAGCAAACCGGCCGUGGAAGAUCUGCCCACUCAUCCAAGCUGCACACUUCCGGAGCAGGCGUGACAGAGAGAGGACGGAAUUAUCCUCAAGCUGCCAUUUCAAAAUAGAUACUUCAGUUUUGAAACCAAAUAAUGUAAUAAAGCGAAAUAAAAUCA